CUUUAUUUCCCCACAUUGGGAGUCAAGCAAAAAAACAUCAGUCAUUUAAUAAUGAAGAAAAUACCCUUUUCACUGCAAAGAUUUUAUAGUAGAACAAGCACAGAUAACUGAUAACAAAUGGCUGCAUAACGUAUACGUGACCCCUAUACCAGCAACUGUCGUUGCUCCGUGACUGACAUGGCCCAAUGGGAUCCAUAAUGGAAUUCAGCCCUUUUUUGAGGUUAAUAAUUACAUAUGUGCUUUUCCUGAAAUGGCAAAUCAAAAUGCUCUCUGCGAAAAAAGAUCAAUUAGUUUUAAGUUUCAAUGCAGCAUUUUCUGAGAGAGUCUUGGGAGAAUCUCAGAGUGAGCACAUCUUGUUUACCUGUUAUGACAUAUUUGAUGUUGAUAUACUACCUACAAACAUGGUGAUAUAACAUAUUUUUCUUCGUAUCUUUUUCACUAAUGCUCAGCCUUUUGGAUAUCUAUAAAUAAAACUUUCAAUUUAUCUGGUCAAUUUAAAUUCGUUUAGUAGGUUCUUCCAUUCAGACAUGAAAGGCUCAAUCUUUCAAAAUAAACUAAUGUCUUUAACUAAUGAAUUUAUGAUUCAAAUGAUUAAACAUGACAGGACCUAUAAUUCUACUUUUUUUUCAUAUGUCACCAAUCUUGACUUGAAUAACCUUCAAUUUCAGCCAUCUCACUAGAACAGUUGAUAUUGAGUUGAAAAUUGACGAUGGGUUUUGCUCAGCCAGCAUUUAAGCUUAAAUUAACUGAUGGAUUGUUUGUUUCUACCGUCCAAAGCAACCCCUUAACAGAUUUCUGAAAUAACAUUUUGGAAUUUUUCAAGUGAAAAAAAAAAAAUCUAUUUCAGAAUAUUGUAUUUUGGUUUAGGUAUAUGUCAGUCUGGUGUGUAUAUCCUGUAUGGGGUUUUUGUUUUGCAUCAAAGCAAGUGUCUUAAUUCUCUCAAAUCAGCGGAAACAAUAGGCCCAAAUCAACAAUCUCAUACAUUUUUUAAAAAUGUGCUGGCCAGCUCAGCGAUGCCAAAAGACCUAAAAGACCACAGAGCAUAACUAAAGUGCAUGAUGACAGAAUAAUAUCCAUGGUUAAGAAAAAGUUCCAACGUCUAACCAAAUCAAGAACACUCUCAUGGAGAUAAGAUUGUCGUUGUCAAAGUCUACAAUUAAGAGAUGCCUUUAUGAACACAAAGUCAAAAGUCUUGAUGCAGUCAUCCAGGUAUUUUUUGGGAUAAAUGCAAAGCUUUUACAACAAGGUGCAAACCUAUGGUUACACUAAGAAACAGUAAGACCAGAUUAGACUUUUCCAGGAAACAUGUAAUACCUGUAUAGUUAUUAAAAAAAAAAUAAAAUAAAAUAAAAACUUUGAACAGAUGAAACCAAGAUCAAGAAGUACCAGAAUGAUAGGAAGAGAAAAGUAUGGAGAAGGAGCAAACUCAUGAUUUGAAGCAUAUUACAUCAUCUGUCAAAUGUGGUGGAGCCAAUGUUAUGGAAUGGGCAUAUAUGGCUGUCAGUGGAACUGAGACAUCUGUGUUUAAUUAUGUUGUGAUUGCUGACAGAAGUAGCAGGAUGUAAAACAAAUGAAACAGCAGCGAUGACCCGUAGCAUACCCCAAAAGCAGUUCAUACCAGUUUUUCAACAUGGGAUAUUCUUAAACAGCCAAGUAAAAGUUGAUGAGAUAUUUAAUGUUUGAUUUAAAAUCCGCCCUGAUAGUGUACAGAGGUGUGUCUUUGUCCAACAAAUUAUGGACCGAAUUGUAUUCCUGAAGGCAUAAUGAUAUUUGUUAGUUGGUGCUUUUGUGUAUAUGAAUUAAGGUCUGUCUCGAGGAGCAUUAAUGUUUUCUUUUUUUUAAUCUGUUCAAUGAUUUUCUAUGUUAGUCUACUUGUGCUUUCACAUGAUUUUGGUGAAAGUCUAGAUUAAGGGAAGUUUGGCUACUACAACACCAAAUUUCUUCACAAGAGUGUCUAUAAUCCUUCACAUUAAUUUAACAGAACAAGCAGGAUUGAAUGUGCACGCGAAUGGAAUAAAAGUACAUCCCUAGACAGAAAUCCAGACAGAAAUCCGGUAAAAGCAUAAUCACUGAAUGGUUGGUACCAAAUCAAUUCAACAAAUUUCUGGUUUUUGGUGGCGUUUAAGUUUGUAAUUCCACAUGAUGGAACAAGAAUUGCUCCCUGAUAUCCCAGUAUCAUUUUCUGACAUAUCCUGGCAUGCCAAGCAGAACCAAAAAGUGAAGCAACAGGCUGACCUUGGAGUACCAUUUGUUGAUUUAGUGAGACACACUCUGAAGCAGCUGUCAAUACAGUGCCUCUAAAGGAUUGAUUUAAUCUCUGUUCAUAAAUCAUCAUAAAUGUCAAUGAUGGAUUUACUUUAUGGACACUCUUAAUUUUUCCUCUAAAUGAAUCCUGUGUUAAUGUUGUUUGCAUUUAUGUUGUCUAGAAUGAUCUCUGGUUAAGAUUUAUUCUCUCUAUUACACAUAAAAGUGUGGAAGCUUUAGCCUUGUAUCUCUUGGUAUACUGGAUAGCUAGAUUUUGAUUUUAUCUCUGAUAUCCACUCUGUCACUGUUCAGUGCUUUCAUGCUUACCAUCCAAGAGAACAUUUUAUUCUCAUGGUGCAAACAGCAGUUCAUCCUCAAGACAAAGCAUAUAACCCCUUUGAAAACAUGCUGCAGUAGACCAAAAAACGAAAGAAAACCAUGAAUCAACACAUGGACGUGUGAAACAGAUCAAAGUUACACCUUGGGAGAUGGAAAUGUGCUGGGAAUGUGGUUAUAUUACCACAGUGGAUUUUAUCGAAACAAAACGGCAAAGGAAACAAAACAUCACAAACAGCACUGAUCUGCCUCUCAGACUGUGAACACAGCACAUAGGUUGCAAAGGAGGAUACUGGCAACGACAUCAUGUCAAGCCUCCUUUCGAUUGGAGUUGUCAGUGAGAAUGAGCGAUGCAAAAUGCCAAUGUCAAAAAGCCCUGUGUUUAGCUUGUCCAUGCUGACAGGUUAGGAAAUGGAGCAUGCUACCUGACCAGCAUAAGAGAAUUGCUGCCCUCCGGUGCUGCAGCAGUCACAUCUGCGGGCCAACGAUAAACAACUUUUCAUGCCUUCAAUCACCAUGAGUAUAGCCCCAUUUUCUUUCUCUGUCUUUUUCUCUUUCUGAUUUUCUCUUGCGGUGUGUUCCAGCAACAGAAAAAUAUAUUACAUUUUCUA